AUGGCCUGAUAAAUAUGUUUGAG
rnacentral:siRNA from 1 species